CGUGAAACCGUCCAGGGGUAAACCUGCGAAACUCGAAAGAACGAACGGAGAGAUUCAUCGUCAUUCCUCGGCGCACGUGCGUCGAUACCGAUGGUCGCCGGUCUCGAUCGGCGGUCACGUGUCGCGCACGUAGCGCUCCGGGGACGGCGUGCACUUCUCUCUCAGUAAUACAUCGCGACCCGUUCGACGUCGGUCUAAGUGCCCUCCGGGAGUCUGCGCUUCCUCGCGUCGCGCAGACCGAGAGGUGUCUCACCGACCGGCGUCACAUACAAACCGGACGGUAUACUAUACGAAACGCGUACGCGCUAGCGCGCGUCCGGCCCGACGCAAGGCGUGCGUCGUAUCCCUCCCCCUGCCCGAGUGCGGGGGAGGGUGCGGCGCGCCUGUCGUCGCAGCCGUGCUGUCUCGGACUGUGCGCGUAUCCGUCUGCGA
rnacentral:rRNA from 1 species